CGGUACCGGAAUAAGAAGCACCGGCUAACUACGUGCCAGCAGCCGCGGUAAUACGUAGGGUGCGAGCGUUAAUCGGAAUUACUGGGCGUAAAGCGUGCGCAGGCGGUUUGAUAAGACAGGCGUGAAAUCCCCGGGCUUAACCUGGGAACUGCGCUUGUGACUGUCUCACUAGAGUACGGCAGAGGGGGUGGAAUUCCACGUGUAGCAGUGAAAUGCGUAGAGAUGUGGAGGAACACCGAUGGCGAAGGCAGCCCCCUGGGCCGAUACUGACGCUCAUGCACGAAAGCGUGGGGAGCAAACAGGAUUAGAUACCCUGGUAGUCCACGCCCUAAACGAUGUCAACUAGGUGUUGGGUGGGUAAAACCAUUUAGUACCGGAGCUAACGCGUGAAGUUGACCGCCUGGGGAGUACGGCCGCAAGGUUAAAACUCAAAGGAAUUGACGGG
rnacentral:rRNA from 1 species